rnacentral:rRNA from 1 species
AUGGAAAAAAUGAAGGAUGCGCCGGUACCAGAAGGUGAAGAGCCAAAGUCUGCUAUUGAAAUUGUCGAAGAAGUGCUCAAGACCGAAGUCAAGCAAAGCACAUUCCUCAGGAAUGUUGGGCUCCAGUCAUCUAGGAACAACUCCGGCAGAGCAACUGCUGAAGUGGCUGCUCAUGUUUGUGACCUUGAGCAGAAGCUGGAGAGGUCCGAGCUUCAAGCUGAAGUGAUGUAA